rnacentral:lncRNA from 1 species
CCUGGAGGUUGACUUCUCUUCCUGCUUGCUGGUCUCUUGGCACAAGGAACCUGAAGCAAUCAGGUAGCGACUAGAGCUGAAAGUUUAGUGGGAUUCUUGUGUAUCCUGGUGGAACCAUCCCCCUGCUGGGAGCCCAGACCUUGAGACCCACAAAGCCUAGGGUGGUGGGGAUGGGAAGUCAAGAUUCUCCCCGUGGCUCACUCGGAGUACGGGGACGGGAGUCACUCUUAACUUCACCUACUGACACCCCAGCUCUGCUAUUUCUGCGUAUUGUAGGCAGCACCCAUUCAUGGUUUCGGUUUAAGAUGAAUCCUGAAAGAGGAAAAUGAUCUUUUCCCCAAGUGGGUCCCUGAGUUGCAUCUCUUUUUCCUGCUAAAGUGUUCUAGUUUUGACCUAUCAAACAUUUUUAAUAUAACAAUUCUUGAAUAUACCAACUUCCAUCCCAACAGCAUCUACGGAGUGGGGUAGGGGUGGGGCUAUGAAGGGAAAGGACAGGUUUUUAGGUUCCUGACUGCUUCCUUCACCUCUGUUGCUUGUGAGAACAUGGUCUUUGCAGAGGACAAGGCAGUUCAGCCAGAGGCCAGGGGCUGCACAGCCCACUGUAAGGCGGCCCCUCCAACAUGACAUCAUUGCCACUUCUCGGGAAAGCCAGAUCUGCUUAGGAGACAAGAGGGAAGUGGUUGUUACUGAGAAGUAGUUCAUCAUUCUUCAGUGUUCUGCUGACCAUGCCUUUGGGGCAUAGGAUAGAGUUUCCUAGAGACUGCUGGAUUGAAAAGAGCUACAAAUCCACCUGGGAGAAGAACAGAAACUGAGUGUGAGCCUACCUCCUGCCAGGAUGUCUUGCUGAUGACUCUGGAAAGCUAGCAUCGCGGUCCACUGGAUGUUUGGAAGGGGAAGGGAUGACAGAGCCUUUGGCCCAGCAGGGCCGCAGCCUUGCCAGAAACAACGGCCGCUCCCCUUUCAAAACAAAUAGUAAAUGCUCUUUUGUAAAUGGAGAUGGGAGGAAAGCUCUGGACUUCUCACCAUUUAACAUCUUGGGGCUUGAGUUUCUUCAUCUACAAAAUGGAGUGAUACCAGAGUGACUGGGAAAUCAAGUGAAACAAAGUAUGGGAAAGCGCUUUUUAACAAUGUAUUCUGCUGUACGGGAAAAGACCUCAAUGCUGGGAAAGAUUGAGGGCAGGAGGAGAAGGGGGCGACAAAGGAUGAGCUGGUUGGAUGGCAUCACCAAGUCAAUAGACACGAGUUUG